UAUAAGUACUGGUAUAAGUUUCAUUUUUUUUUUUUCAGAAAACCAUCAAUAUUGUAAAACAAAUAAUGGCCCUGCAUGGUCUUCCUUUCUUAUCACAUGUACAAUAUUUAUAUAGUUCUUAUAACAAAUCCUAUUUAUUUACUCAAUUUUUGUUUUAUGAAUGACAAUCUUUAUGCUUGGUUCAAAUUCUGUAUUUUGGAGACAACAAUUUGAUACUACUGCCAAUGUUCUUGCUUUAUAAAAAUAUAUAUAUAUAAUACAUAUAGACCAUACAUUAUUUUUUUAUUUUUAACUUGAAAUUGUAUGUUAACUAUGAUUUGUUACAGAAAACAAAAUUCUGCUAUAUAAAUAAAAUACUU
rnacentral:sRNA from 1 species